AAACCUCUUUUCUUCAUGAUUCAGGGAGUGCUCUGUUAUUUAUUUUUUUUUUACCUUAGUUAAAGCUUCAUUGCUACUUCCAAACUUUUUUAAAAUUCUCAAAAUUACAGUUUGCAUUUAAAAGGUGAAUAAUUUUGCCCAUGGAGCUGGUGGAAGCUCCAUCCAUGGACAUAUUCCGAUCUAAUCUCAAAGUUAACCCUGCUCUAAGUUGCAGUGUGGGCAUCACACACUGAGAUGCCUUCCAAUGUAAGUUAUUCUAUGAUUCUGUUCUGCGUAUUUUUAUCCUCUGCAUUAAUGGUCAUGAUAAACAUCAGGGGAUACAACAGGAGAGGACAAAGGUGCAAUAUUGCACCAAAAUUGCAGAUGACACCAAGCUGGAAAGGAGUGUUAAUCUGCUUGAUGGUAGAAAGGCUCUACAAAGGGAUCUGGACAAGCUGGAUCAAUGGACUGAGGCCAGUUGUAUGAAGUUCAUCAAGGCCAAACGCCAUGUCCUGCGCUUGGGUCACAACAACCCCUUGCAAUGCUAUAGGCUUGAUGAAGAGUGCCUGGAAAACUGGCUGGUGGGAAAAAGACCAGGACUGUUGGUUGACAGCUGGCUGAAUAUGAGGCAGAAGUGUGCCCAGGUUGCCAAAAAGGCCAAUAGCAUCCUGGCUUGUAUCAGAAAUAGUGUAGCCAUCGGGACUAGGGCAGUGAUCAUUCCAUUGUCCUCACUGCUGGUGAGGCCAAACCUUGAAUCCUGUGUUCAGUUUUGGGCCCCUCAUCAUACGAAAGACAUUGAGGUACUGAGGAGAGUGCAGAGAAGGGCAGUGAAGACAAUGAAGGGCCUGGAGCACAAGUCUUAUGAGAAGCAGCCAGGGGAACUGGUCUGGUUUGGUCUGGACGAAAGGAGGCUGAGGGUAGACCUUGUUGCUCUCUACAGCUACCUUAAAGGAGGUUGUAGCAUGGAGGGUAUUGGUCUCUUCUUCCAAGUAACAAGUUAUAGGAGAAGAGGAAAUGGCCUCAAGUUGCACAAGGGGAGGUUUAGAUUGGAUAUUAGGAAAAAGUGGUGGAGUCACCAUCCCUGAAGGUGUUUAAAAGACAUGUGGAUGUGGCUUUUAGGGACAUGGUUUAGUGGUCGACUUGACAGUGCCGGGUUAGUGGUUGGACUUGAUAAUCAUAACAACCUUUUCCAACCUAAAGGAUUCUACGAUUCUAUUAAUAUAAAGAACCUUAUUUAAGUACUGUCUCUAACCAGAGCUAAUAUUUCAGGGCUUUCCUUGGCAAGAUGCAUAAAAGUUGAAAUAAGUAGCUAGCAUGAUUUUUUUUUCCACCUCACUGAAAUAAUCAAGGGCUGGAUUCUUACAUCCUAGUCCUAUGAAGUUUUUAGUCUUUGUGUUUCCCAUGAGUCAAGAUUACAUAUGAUCAUUCAAUAGUGGAGUUGAUAGAAACCUUCAGAUUUAUUUCAGUUAAGCAGUGGAAGGCAGGAUAAAACCCUGCUUUGAAUGGAAAGGCUACACAGCUGUGACCACUCAUGGUACAUCCAUGUACUUUGCUGGUUGAUGCUUGGGAAGGAUGAGUGAAAGAUACAGUUUAUUUCAGCUUACCAUAAAUCUGAACUUGUUGAGUUUUAGUAAUUUGUUUUCUGUUAACAAUAUUAAUUUCCACUUUGACUGACGCCUUUCUUUUCUGGUUUCAUGGCUUCUACCUGCUACUAUUCUGAAUGGUAAAGGAGCCCCUUUUUUUGUUCCUAGUCCUUUUACUCAAUAAACAAUAUGGGGAUCUCGGUUUAUCUAAAGUUAUCUUUUUCAGUUUGCAGCUCUAAAGACAUUGUUUAGUCAGUAUUGGAUGGACGGUUUGAUCAAAAAGAGAAUAGAGUUAUGCUUGAUGUGAUAACUAUGGAUAUCAGAGAUGAAGACCCAGAAAAGUGUAGUUCACAAGUGGAAUGCAGCUUUGGAAAAUUUACAAAUAUUCUUGCCAUUUUAUCAUAUAUACUCACUUUUCUUUCUCUCGUUAAUGCUAGCAGCAUCUUUCUAAUAUUCCACUCUGUACAACAAAAAAGUAAUUAUAUGUGCCAUUGGCAGGGUGCUACCUGUGGCAAUUAAUUUAGCCUGUCUAGUGAUUUAUGAGUAUUGUCUCUUUGUGUACAGGGGUAUGAUGCACUUAAUAAUAUCAAUUCAUUAAAUCAAACAGGCUAGAUAAUUUUAAUUCAGCAAGAAUAUUUUGCAAUAUUUAAAGCAGAUCUGAGCCCUGAAUGAGUUUAAAAGUUCUCUGAAUAGUACAUUACUUUAAAAAAAAAAAUAAAAAAAAAAAGAAAAAGAAAAAAGUCAUGACAGUGUAGUUUAAGAGAGACCUUGCCAGGAUAUUCCGGGAUUAGAUUGCAUAAAGUCAUCUUUGUUUCCAGUGUAGAGCAAUAGGAAAAAAAGGUACAUCAGCAAUAUUGUUAUUAUCAAUCAGAAGUCAUUGCCCUUUUCUCUCAAUGUUACUGCUUAACUGACUUUGUGUUGGUGUCAAGGCUACACUACAAAUAUGUAAAUUGCUAUGCUAGGAAAAGUGUAUGAACAAAACAUCUUUCUGGAAAUUCUUUUUCACUAGCACAAUUAUGUAUUCAUAUGACCAGAAAAAGAUUUUGUGGCUUGAAAUAUGUUUAGAAAUCUUUAGGCACCCACCUCAAAAACUAUUGUUCACAGAAACACAUUGAGCUUGCUGAAACAGGGGCUCUAGUAUCUUUAAACACCCACGUUUCACUCAAAAAUCCUCACCUGGGCCUGUAUCUAGAACUAUAAAAGUUCCAAAUCAUAUCCAUCAACUAUAUUCUCCAUUACUGAACUCUCACUGUUAUGGAUUUGAGCUGAGGUUUUUAGAUCACACCUUCUACACAUUGAUGGGUUUCCUCCUAAAUGCAGUUUUAGGUCUUAUUUUAAAAAUAGACACCAUCAGCAAAAGUGUCAUCAGACUUUAUUUUUUGUUCUCUUCUGUUUAAUAGUGAGUGGUUAGGGCUAUUUCAGAAGUCUUGAGGAAGGCUUCAGUUCUCUUCUGUAUCUCAAAAAAUUCUCACCUUGUUUGCCCAUAUUAAUAUGAACAAACCAGUGGACUGAACGUUGGGUUUUGGUUUUUUUUGUAAUUAUGCGCGAAAGGAGACAUCCUCACCCCUCCUGUGAAAACUGGGCCACUGUGUAGAAAGCAGAAACUUUGUUGACGCUUCUAUCUGAAGGGAUAUAGAUUAUAAACUCUCACUCUCUAGGAAACUCCUGAAAAAGCCUCUUCACGUUCAAGUCAUAUCAUGGUGCACAAAAUAACUACAGGCUCUCUGACCUGUGGAAGGAAACUGUAACAAGAACAACAUUAAGCCUGCCAUCUAGACAUUAUACUUGAGGAGCAGGAGAAGGGGAGAGGACAAAAAUCCUCUCAGAUUGUAUGUAUGUUCCCAAGAGCUCAAGGGCUUGGUAGUUCUCUGCUGCUUCUCUGUGAAAAGGUGUUCUGAGUUUUUGAAAUGUGAACUUCACCAAAUGAAGGAAUUUGGGUUUAAUAAGGUUCUCUUUGAGUAACGUGGAGUAUUAUUAUAGAGACUACAGGUGAGAUGUUUACUUAUUUCUUGGUUACCUAAUAAAAUCAUCACUAUUUGUACAUCAUGAGCAGUGACAAAAAUUGGGCAAAGGGGAAAUCAACAUGAGAACGUGAAGCCCAAUACUGAAAGGUCUACAUCUGUGAGAAAUUUUAUAAUUUUAUGAGUUAAUAAUUUGCUUGAAGCAACACAAUAGGUAGAGAAACAAGAAGUAUAUUCAGAAUCUAUUUAUGAAACGUACUUUUCAUCUUGUCUUUUUUUUUUUAUUGCCUCUGAUUUUUUCUUUUAUUUUCCAGAUGACUUUGUCUAAAUUAACCUUUAAAAAGAGAAUAUAUAGCUUUCAUCCUCUUCCAAGAAAAUGAGCUUGAAACAAAUUCUCAGGAAAAAAUGGAAUAGAAUAUUAAAAUUUGGGCCAUAUUUUCUCACCUUCCUCUAGUCUCUUCAUGUUUUCUAUUAUCUGAAAGAUCAGAUUUAUACAGAAAAGACAUGACCACAGGAAUCUUUUCCCAGAACCUGCUUUGGCUACUUUGGAAAGGCAAGCAAUUUUAUUCUGGCAUAACAGCUCAGAAAUCUGGAAGAAGUGCACUAACAUUUACAGACAAAUGAAGCCAAAAUAGCAGCCAAGGGGACCCACGAUCCUGAGUCACCUCUCCCCCCACCCAUAUCUCUGGGUGGGACGCGACAGAGCAAGAUAUCUCUGCUCCUGCAGCACAGCAGGUGUCUGUGACCUCACCAACAGUUCUGUACACCAGUUGUUUACAAAGAGAUCCUGAUGAAGCAUUGAAGUGAUGGCAGUGCUGAAUCUGAUGUACACUUGUCUUCAGACAAAAUUAAUAAUAGAAGAGGUUCCGAAUACACUAAUAUUAUAGCUACGUUAUUUCUCUUAAUUGUAAAUGGUGUGAUCAAUGUAUUUUUAUUUUUAACAGCAAACUGUCUUAAAUAGGGAGGUCUAUAAUAAACCUGGAAUAUUGCAUUUAAUAUAGAUAUGAAAUAUGCAGAUCACUUGUUUUAUGUGUAUGUUCUCUUUUUUUUUUCUUGACAAUGACAUUCUGUCCAAAUUUAUUAAUGAAAUAUAGGGGAUUUCAGUUUAGUAAUAAAUAAACUUUUUUAUUUAAGGGUUUACUAUAAUUUUUCCAUGCUUUUUCUGUGAAAUUUAGGUUUCUGUUUCAUCCUGCUCUGCUGGAUGUGCUGAAUUUUCUUUUUAUUUUGUUGAUCACACUCAGGACUAAAGUAGCCUGAACUCUGAUCACUUUUCAAACUCAUUUUGGUUUUAGAAGAUAUUUUCUGGGGAUGGAAAAGACUCACAGGGAUGUGGAGGGGAGUCAAAGUGAAAGCUUUGCACAGAUUUUGGUUAUAAUUGAGUAAAACCACAACAGUCUGCCUGGUUUCCACUUGGGUGAUGCAAGUAAGGGGUUCAUUACUAAUAGGUUCCUAGAACUUCGGGUCAGGGAAGACCUUUAGAUCAUUUCUGACUUCUUGUAUUCAGUACAUUAACUUACAGUCAGAUAUUCCUAUAGGAAGCCAAAAGGCUUCGAUUAGACUGAUGUAUUAGGAUCUUCAAAACAGUAGAGCAGUUGAACCACAACAAACAAUGAGUGAGACAAAGCUUCUACUAGUUUCUGGUGAGAUACUUCAAGAUUAUUGCACCUUGCCUUUGAUUCAGUAGUUAGAAGAUCCUCUAAAAACCCUACCAAACUGAACAGAACAGCAGUUUAUUUGUUAAACUAGUGGAGAUAGUGGCUUUGAACCUGGGAGAAAGAUUUGUUAACCACUGACCUGGAACAAACAUUCUUCCACUGCAGAACAGGAUCCACCCUUCCCAGUCUUUCAGCUCCAGGCAAAACCAGAUGUAUGCAAACUAGGAAGCUAGGAACAACCUCCAUCUUUCUCAACAAUGCAAAGCAAAACAAAGAUAAAAUAGUUUGGACACCUGUGCAUUUCGCUUUAUCAAAGGUAAAACAACCGUACUGUACCUGACAAUCCCUUUCGCAAACAGAGAAAGGCUGAGAUCUGUGUAAAACCUUAACAACCAUGGAAUUAGCUGAGACCAAAUUAGAUCAAUCAGGUCAAAUAUCUAGUUGUCUUUCCUGCCUUUUGCACAUCGUGAGCAUAAGAACAAAGGAAACAUGUAGUAUGACUUUCCUAUUCUAUCUUACUCUUCCUAUCUCCAAAAAUUUGUAGCUUGCAGUGUGCCAGAGCACUAACAGUGUGGAUGACCACAUUUUUGUCCUUGAGCUUCUACUAGGGCUCUAUUUAAUUUGCUACUAUAGAUGAAACCUUUCAUUUCUCCCUGUCCUCUAUCAGGUAACAGCAAAGGAUGUCUACUUGUCUGGGUUUCGCUUCCCUUGGACCUGGGGGGACCUGCUCUUUGCUUUUAGGCCUUGUGACUAGCCUAGCAUCUUGCUGGAAAAAUUAGCUGGUAUUUGCUACCAAGCCACAUGAUAAUUCUAUGAUUAGUCUGCAGUGCAUAUUCUUGAAGUAUAAGGGGACUUUGAAAUAGCAAUUAUGAUAAUAUACCCAGUGGCAGUGAAGACAGAAAUAGUUUAAAAUGCAGAUUGGAUUCAGUGGUAAUACUGUUAGGAAUAUGAUCACAUUGAAGGUAUAUACUGUCCUAAUUUAUGUUUUUGUUCUUAUUGGAAACUGUCACAUCAUCUCGGUAGCCUCCACAAGGAAAGAAGUUAAUGGAGCUAUCUGACCACUUUGGAUGCAUCUGAAUUUACCAAAUAGGAACUGCAACUUAUUACAAUAGAUGCAGUAGCAAAGUUUCUUACUGUCCAGGAAAAGAGAAGAAAUAAAAAAGGGUGAGAUGUGUUGCAUUAUGAGCAAAACAUCUGAAAACCAAACAUUUUACUUUGUGGUUGCUUUUAUAAAUCAUUCACGCAUAUGUACUUACAAUAUUUUAUGGUCUUGAGAGCCCUUCUGAGUGUCUUUUUCUCAAAAGAGAGAUUAAAAAAACCUGAAGUAUGACACAUUUAACAGAGUAUAUGCACUAUUUUGGUGGAAGCUUAAUAGUUAUUUAUCUAUUCUGUUCUGUUUUUUUCUGUUCCGUUCUGUUCUGUUCUAUUUCAUUCUAGUCUAGUCUAGUCUAGUCUAGUCUAUCCUGCCCUAUCCUAUCCUAUCCUAUCCUAUCCUAUCCUAUCCUAUCCUAUCCUAUCCUAUCCUAUCCAUCUGUUUUUAAGACACCUACCUAUUUAAUCCAUUUUUAAGUUGUGCAAUCACUUUAGCAAGAGAGCUAUAAAAGACAUAGGUCAUAAUAUGAAAGUAACAAAAACUGGGAGUACAUCUAGGGGUAUAAUUUUAUAUGUUUAAUUUAAGGAUUUGUGCCCCUUAUAGUAUCCUAUCUCAGAACAACAACAGCAGUCUCUGUCCCCUACUUCUGUUGUGCCCAGUAUGUGGCUACUGAACCACAUGGACUUUUGAUCAAUACAAGCUCAGCUCCUGAACUCUGGCUAUGUUGCGUGGUAUGAAAUGGAAAUGUGAUAGUACCGGGGUUACCAGGUAAGUCAGGAUUUCAGCCAAAAGAGACUCAUAAUUGAGUUGAAAACCAAAAGCUCCUUCUUCCUUUGGAAAUCUUUAGUACAAACAGAAACAGCUACAUGAUUUGAAGAAAAGCAUUAGCCAGGGGUAGAUUACAUUAAAAAUCUUUAGAGACAGACAUAAAAAGGAAUCAUUGUUACUGGAAGAUGCUAAGGACUAAAAUGAAAUAACUCUGAGGUGUCAGCAGAAAAUAAAGACGUGGGAUCAGUUGUGAUAUCUGUCUGUACUGAAGUAUAUGUGGAAACAUGAAAAUUACUUAGUGUUUUCAUGAAUUUAUUGUAAAAAGUGAAACUACUGAGUCACAAUAGACAAAUUCUGGUGAUUUCCCUAUGUCAUCUUGUAUCCCUGAUAAGGCAAGCUUUCAGGGCAUAGCUUUCUUAUGGGUAUUUCUCAACUACUUCAAGAUUACCCUCUGGCCUGGCCAUAACAUCACAGUUCCUUUCAGACAUGGUGUAGUUAAAGAGGAUCAUUGGCAAACUGGAUUAUUGCCAGAGUAGUCCAUUGUGUAGCCUCCCACCCAGUCUUCAUAUUUUAGUCAUCAACAUCUUCUACUGCUCAAAGCAUAACAGGAGAUUAAUUGCCUCCUUUUAUUUCAUAUGCAGGUAUCGGAAGAGUCAAAAAAGGUUGUAAAAUAAAUGAAUGCAGACUGUAUUGUGAUUGUACUUGUACUACACUUAUACUUUAAUUUCAAGACAAGGAAAUUCACAUCUACUCAUUUCAAACAUGCUGAAUGUAUCAUAAAUGCAAUUUAACUUCAGCUCUCUGUACAAGAGGGCUGGCAGGUUACUCAUUUUCUUUUAUGGCAGUAACUCCUCAAAGUACACAACUCAUUGCAAAAAAAAAUCGUAAGCCCCUUUCUUUGUAUACAUUACACAAAAGCAACACCAUUACCGUACAUUGCUAUAUAAAUAUCCUUUUUGUAUUUAGUGGCUCCAUUAGGCAUGUUCUUUGCUUCCUAGCUGCUUUAAUUAAGGACUGACUGAAGUUUUAGCUCCUGGCUGUAUCAGUUGGAAAGACACUCUUAGUUUCCAUUUUUACUAAGUAGCUAUCUACGUAAAUUGUGGCUAGAAGUGGCCAGCUGCAUCAGUGUAUGGACUCAGGACAGGUGUUUGCAUGUGCAAUCAAAGUAGUUCAAGCAAAAGCUAUUGACAUGUGUGCACACUCAACGGUUUGGAAUAUGAAGUUGGGAUUUGAAAAUACAGUUAAUUUUUACUCGUUUUUGCUGCUGCUAAGAAAUACCUUUUUUUUUUUCUUUUUUUCAAAUAACUCAACAAUGUCACUGAACUCCUAAAUGCUGGAGUGCUGGAGAAGGAGUGAACUGUUUCUAUUAAACAGAAUAUGUGGAACUAAUCUGUUUAAAAUGCAUUAAAAACUUAUUACUUGAACAUGAACAUCUCCUUUACAAGGUUAUGAACUGACAUUGCAGAUACUGUAAUUUUUCAGAGAAAAGUACUUUUCAAAUAAAUUUUCUUAUUCAAACAAAAAAACGGAAAAGAUUUUUUUUAAUACAGUCAAAAGCAUUUAUUAUGAACUAAGAUCAAAGGAACUUGCAUUGUACACAGUUGUUCUGAAAGGGCCUUUUAUUUUUUAGUGUGAGGAAAUUCUAAGCAAGUGUAACUCUAUUGCUGAUCAGACAUUUGUACAAGCUUGUGGCAUAUAUUGAACACCAGCCUCCAGCCACAGCCCUCUGAAAGCCUUGUCAGCACAAGGUAAGGAAACCUCAGCAAUGUUAAAUAAGUCUGUGAAAACUACCAUGUGAAGCAGCUGGAAAGAACAGAAUGUGUGUAAUGAAAAUCAAUCAGUCAGAAAACAAACAAACAAACAAACAAGCAAAAACCAAACAAAAAAAUAAGAGCUACCCUUAUC